GACGAACGCUGGCGGCGUGCCUAAUACAUGCAAGUAGAACGCUGAAGGAGGAGCUUGCUUCUCCGGAUGAGUUGCGAACGGGUGAGUAACGCGUAGGUAACCUGCCUGGUAGCGGGGGAUAACUAUUGGAAACGAUAGCUAAUACCGCAUAAGAGUAGAUGUUGCAUGACAUUUGCUUAAAAGGUGCAAAUGCAUCACUACCAGAUGGACCUGCGUUGUAUUAGCUAGUUGGUGGGGUAACGGCUCACCAAGGCGACGAUACAUAGCCGACCUGAGAGGGUGAUCGGCCACACUGGGACUGAGACACGGCCCAGACUCCUACGGGAGGCAGCAGUAGGGAAUCUUCGGCAAUGGACGGAAGUCUGACCGAGCAACGCCGCGUGAGUGAAGAAGGUUUUCGGAUCGUAAAGCUCUGUUGUAAGAGAAGAACGAGUGUGAGAGUGGAAAGUUCACACUGUGACGGUAUCUUACCAGAAAGGGACGGCUAACUACGUGCCAGCAGCCGCGGUAAUACGUAGGUCCCGAGCGUUGUCCGGAUUUAUUGGGCGUAAAGCGAGCGCAGGCGGUUAGAUAAGUCUGAAGUUAAAGGCUGUGGCUUAACCAUAGUACGCUUUGGAAACUGUUUAACUUGAGUGCAAGAGGGGAGAGUGGAAUUCCAUGUGUAGCGGUGAAAUGCGUAGAUAUAUGGAGGAACACCGGUGGCGAAAGCGGCUCUCUGGCUUGUAACUGACGCUGAGGCUCGAAAGCGUGGGGAGCAAACAGG
rnacentral:rRNA from 1 species